rnacentral:lncRNA from 1 species
UUAAAGCAGCACAACUAAGAUGACACAGAAGAAGAUUCACUCUAUAUGAAGACCAGCUAAGGAACUUGGAAAUGUUGGGCCCGAAGAAGAGAAGAUGAGAGAUUAUCAAGUCUUCACAGGACAUUCUUAAAACCUGUGAAGUAUACAUGAACUGAUACAGAGGGAAAUAAGCAGAAACAAGAAAAUGUACACAGUAACAGCAAUAUUGUGGAAUGAUCAAAUUCAACAGACUUAGCUACUAUCAGCAAUGCAAUAAUUCAGGACAGUUCUGAAAGACUUAUGACUAUCUACCUCCAGAGAAAGAACUGUUUGAGUCAAAAUGAAGAUGAAAGUGUAUGAUUUUCACUUGUUUAUUUGGCUUGAAGACCUCCAAGAGUGGAGAUCACACUACCUGUAAAACAUUCCAU